GACGAACGCUGGCGGUGUGCCUAAUACAUGCAAGUAGAACGCCGGCGGAGGAGCUUGUUUCUCUGGCUGAGUUGCGAACGGGUGCGUAACGCGUAGGUAACCUGCCUGGCAGUGGGGGAUAACUUUUGGAAACGAUAGCUAAUACAGUAUAAUAGUCGAUGUUGCAUGAAAUUUGCUUAAAAGGUGGAAUUGCAUCACUACAAGAUGGACCUGCGUUGUAGUAGCUAGUUGGGGGGGUAACGGCGCCCCAAGGCGAGGACACAUAGGCGACGUGAGAGAGGGUGCGGCCACACUGGGACUGAGAGACGGCCCAGAGUCCUACAGGGGGGAGCGGAAGGGGAACUUUGGCAAUGGGCGGGAGACCGACCGAGAGACACCGCGGGAGGGUGGAGGGUUCUCGGGUCUUGAAACUCUGUUGUAUUGGAAGAACGAGGGUGAGGGUUGAAAGUUCGCACUGUGACGGUAACCUACCAGAAAGGGACGGCUAACUACGUG
rnacentral:rRNA from 1 species